GGGCAGGCAGACGGAGGCAAACACAGCACAGGCCAGAGCAAAGGGCGAUUCAAAGGCUGGCGAAUUGAUGAAUGUAGACGUUUUCAACUGUUAUGUUGUUGUUCCUGUUCUCCCCCUUUUUUUUUUUUUUUUCUGAUUGCCGCGUUGUUUGUCUCGGUGCCCUCUUCCGUUCCUUGUCCACACUGAGCCUGUUUUACUGGUGCGCGUUUGGGAUGUGUGUUUGUAGAGCUAUGCGAGAGCAGACGUCCUUCUGUCACCCUGUGCUUGAGCAGACGCACUCAUGCCAGGAGGAGGGGAUUGUGGGAAAAAGGGGUGUCGCUCUCAGAGGGUGUGCUCUACUCCUCUCUUUUCCCUUCUUCCCGCCAUCACGGCCCUCUUCUACUCCAGUCCUCCGGCCCAGGCCGCCGCUCAGAUACAGACUCCAGCUACCAUCGACACCCGUGAGACACUGCGCGUCAAGACACCCGUGGACACACCCCUCCGACUAUCAGGAGUGUGACCUUGACGGCUGCACUAUGAUGAUGCAACAUGAAUGCUGUCCUUGGGCCUGAGGAGACAGCUUGGUCGUCGCCCAGGUGACAAUAUGGAACUGUUCAAGCAACACAGCAACUCACAUAACACAUAUUGUUGUGACAAUUACUGUGCUGUAAAGAAUAUGGUACCUGACCGGUGAAUAUGUUUGACCUGGGCUUUGUCAGGGUGAGGUAGUAGGUUGUAUAGUUUGGUGGGUGGGUCCGCACCCUACUCAGGUGAUAACUAUACAGUCUAUUGCCUUCCCUGAGCGGCUCACGCACGGACAGCUAAAGUUUUUCAAGCAAAACUAGUGCCUGUUUAUUUUGUAUUUGUAUUUGUAUGUGUUUGUUUGAAAGACAAUGUGCAGUUACAUUAAAGAAGAUGGCCGCACCAGAUUUAGCACCAUGCUAAUUUCCA